CCCCAGCCCUGGCCGCUGCCCCCGCCGUACUGCGAGACCAUGUCGGCGGCGCCCUUGGCGGCGGCCGCCCCGUCCUGCGGCCCGGCGCUAUAGUCGCCCCCGGGGUAGCCCUGCAGGCACCCAGGAAGGUGGGGCAGAACUUUAAUCCCCUCAUUAUUUCUACGCUUGGUGGUGGAAUCAAAAAGCAAGAGCCUGAUCACGAGCAGAGGCAGGGCAGGGCAGGGCAGAAGCUCCUUCUCCCGGCGUGGCUGUGACAGCAGCUCAGCGAGACACCACGUGGGAAAGCCGGGUUCGGGAU